rnacentral:SRP_RNA from 1 species
GCUGGGCGCCGUGGCACGUGCCUGUAGUCCCAGCUACUCGGGAGGCUGAGGUGGGAGGAUCACUUGAGCCCAGGAGUUCUGGGCUGUAGUGUGCUAUGCUGAUAGGGUGUCCACUAAGUUCGGCAUCAAUAUGGUGACCUCCCGGGAGCAGGGGACCACCAGGUUGUCUAAGGAGGGGUUAACCGGCCCAGGUCAGAAACUGAGCAGGUCAAAACUCCCAUGCUGAUCAGUAGUGGGAUCGAGCCUGUGAAUAGCCACUGUACUCCAGCGCAACAUAGUGAGACCCCCUUCUCU